rnacentral:rRNA from 1 species
AUAAUGGGUCAGCGACUUAUAUUCUGUAGCAAGGUUAACCGAAUAGGGGAGCCGAAGGGAAACCGAGUCUUAACUGGGCGUUAAGUUGCAGGGUAUAGACCCGAAACCCGGUGAUCUAGCCAUGGGCAGGUUGAAGGUUGGGUAACACUAACUGGAGGACCGAACCGACUAAUGUUGAAAAAUUAGCGGAUGACUUGUGGCUGGGGGUGAAAGGCCAAUCAAACCGGGAGAUAGCUGGUUCUCCCCGAAAGCUAUUUAGGUAGCGCCUCGUGAAUUCAUCUCCGGGGGUAGAGCACUGUUUCGGCAAGGGGGUCAUCCCGACUUACCAACCCGAUGCAAACUGCGAAUACCGGAGAAUGUUAUCACGGGAGACACACGGCGGGUGCUAACGUCCGUCGUGAAGAGGGAAACAACCCAGACCGCCAGCUAAGGUCCCAAAGUCAUGGUUAAGUGGGAAACGAUGUGGGAAGGCCCAGACAGCCAGGAUGUUGGCUUAGAAGCAGCCAUCAUUUAAAGAAAGCGUAAUAGCUCACUGGUCGAGUCGGCCUGCGCGGAAGAUGUAACGGGGCUAAACCAUGCACCGAAGCUGCGGCAGCGACACUAUGUGUUGUUGGGUAGGGGAGCGUUCUGUAAGCCUGUGAAGGUGUACUGUGAGGUAUGCUGGAGGUAUCAGAAGUGCGAAUGCUGACAUAAGUAACGAUAAAGCGGGUGAAAAGCCCGCUCGCCGGAAGACCAAGGGUUCCUGUCCAACGUUAAUCGGGGCAGGGUGAGUCGACCCCUAAGGCGAGGCCGAAAGGCGUAGUCGAUGGGAAACAGGUUAAUAUUCCUGUACUUGGUGUUACUGCGAAGGGGGGACGGAGAAGGCUAUGUUGGCCGGGCGACGGUUGUCCCGGUUUAAGCGUGUAGGCUGGUUUUCCAGGCAAAUCCGGAAAAUCAAGGCUGAGGCGUGAUGACGAGGCACUACGGUGCUGAAGCAACAAAUGCCCUGCUUCCAGGAAAAGCCUCUAAGCAUCAGGUAACAUCAAAUCGUACCCCAAACCGACACAGGUGGUCAGGUAGAGAAUACCAAGGCGCUUGAGAGAACUCGGGUGAAGGAACUAGGCAAAAUGGUGCCGUAACUUCGGGAGAAGGCACGCUGAUAUGUAGGUGAAGUCCCUCGCGGAUGGAGCUGAAAU